UACGGGGGGAGCAAGCGUUGUUCGGAUUUACUGGGCGUAAAGAGUGUGUAGGCGGUGCUCUAAGUCUGUUGUGAAAUCUCCCGGCUUAACUGGGAGGGUGCGGCGGAGACUGGAGUGCUAGAGUGUGGGAGAGGUAAGCGGAAUUCCUGGUGUAGCGGUGAAAUGCGUAGAUAUCAGGAGGAACACCUGUGGUGUAGACAGGUCUCUGGGCAUUAACUGACGCUGAGGAGCGAAAGCAUGGGGAGCGAACAGG
rnacentral:rRNA from 1 species